rnacentral:rRNA from 1 species
AGUACGGCCGCAAGGUUAAAACUCAAAUGAAUUGACGGGGGCCCGCACAAGCGGUGGAGCAUGUGGUUUAAUUCGAUGCAACGCGAAGAACCUUACCUACUCUUGACAUCCACAGAAUUUGCCAGAGAUGGCUUAGUGCCUUCGGGAACUGUGAGACAGGUGCUGCAUGGCUGUCGUCAGCUCGUGUUGUGAAAUGUUGGGUUAAGUCCCGCAACGAGCGCAACCCUUAUCCUUUGUUGCCAGCGGUUCGGCCGGGAACUCAAAGGAGACUGCCAGUGAUAAACUGGAGGAAGGUGGGGAUGACGUCAAGUCAUCAUGGCCCUUACGAGUAGGGCUACACACGUGCUACAAUGGCGCAUACAAAGAGAAGCGACCUCGCGAGAGCAAGCGGACCUCAUAAAGUGCGUCGUAGUCCGGAUCGGAGUCUGCAACUCGACUCCGUGAAGUCGGAAUCGCUAGUAAUCGUAGAUCAGAAUGCUACGGUGAAUACGUUCCCGGGCCUUGUACACACCGCCCGUCACACCAUGGGAGUGGGUUGCAAAAGAAG